GAUUUCUGAGGAAAUCGUCUCUGCCUUGGCCAAGAAAGGAAUCUCCAAGCUCUUCCCUAUCCAGGUGAGUUUGCGAGGUUUCUAGGGUUUAUGCGUUUUCCUGAAUCGAUUCAAUAGUGUAUAAAUUUAGUAACAUUGAGCUGUUGUUAACUUGUUUCUGUUGUUGAAUUGUAGAGGGCUGUGCUGGAACCUGCUAUGCAAGGUCGUGAUAUGAUUGGUCGAGCUAGAACAGGAACUGGGAAAACUCUUGCUUUUGGGAUACCCAUCAAGGAUAAGAUUAUUAAGUUCAAUGCUAAGCAUGGGUUGGUUUUACUUUUAUGUUUGUUGAAUGAUGCUUUUUAUGCAUUUAAUUUUACUUGUUAUGCCUUACUAUUACUUGAAUUUGGCCCCGUUUGGAAGAGCUUAUUCGAGCUUAUCUGAUAGCAUAAACUCUUAUGCCAGUGCCAGUGUUUGGGAGAGCAUAUGCAAACAACUUAUGGCUUAUUCUUCCAUAAGCUGUUUUGAGCUUAUUUUCAUAAGCUACUCAGGAUAGCUUAUGAAAAAGAGCUUAUGCUUAUAUAUAUAUAGCUUAUUUUCAAUUUAUUUCAAUAAAUUUUUUAAAUAACUUAUGAAUAAGCGUUUAUGUCAUAAGCGCAUAUGACUAUAAGCGCUUAAUUAAGCUGUUUUUCCAAACGGGACCUUUGUAUCUUUUCUAUCUGCUUGACUUUGAAGGUGGAUUUGGAUUAAGUGAUUUGCUAGAAAAUAUUGAUUUGUGGGUUUAACUUGUUAUGUUUUGUUGUGUGUGGAUGGUGUGGCAGACGAGGGAGGGAUCCUUUGGCAUUGGCUUUGGCUCCGACUCGAGAACUUGCAAAGCAGGUGGAGAAGGAAUUCUAUGACUCAGCGCCUAACUUGGAUACGAUUUGUGUUUAUGGGGGCACUCCCAUCUCGCAACAGAUGAGGCAACUUGAUUAUGGUGUUGAUGUUGUGGUGGGCACGCCGGGUCGAAUUAUUGACCUUCUGAACAGAGGCGCUCUAAAUUUGAAGGAGGUUCAGUUUAUGGUUCUUGACGAAGCUGAUCAGAUGCUUCAAAUAGGAUUUCAGGAAGACGUGGAGAAGAUCUUGGAUAGGUUGCCCCCUAAACGUCAGACUCUUAUGUUCUCUGCAACUAUGCCAUAUGAGAUUAAGCAGUUGACACGCAAGUACCUAAACAAUCCCGUAACCAUUGAUCUUGUAAGUACAUGAUUCUAUUUUUUCCGUCACUAGCUUUAAGCAUUGGGGCAAUUAUGGUAUUGAAAUCUCUUAUUGGAGUGAGUAUCUUCCCAAAAUUAAAAUGCAGAAAGCAAAUCAAGUGGAUGAACGCAUGGUGCACAAAGUGACAGAACACCAAUAGAAAAUAGGAUUAAAUGAAACCAAAUUACAGAAAAUACAGCAAUCUCUUCCCAUUGUUAGAAACUCUUACAGAGAUUAUCUCUGUCACUAAAACUGCCAAAACACUACCAUAACUACCUCGCAACACUACCACGCCCAGUAGAUAUUGUUAUUAAGAAGUUUAUUAUAAGUAAAUUUACAAGCAAUGUGUGUAUGUAUUUCAGUUGUACUGAAAAAGACUGGGUUUCAAUGGUAUUCUUAUUAUCCUUCAUAAGAAAUUGUAAAUUUCAGUCUGUGUUUAGAAAACUAUUUUACUGGGAUAUGUUUAUGAAGAAAGGAAAGAAAGUCAUGCAGUUUGAGAUCAACUUGGUCAGUUAUUUUAUUUGUUGGUUAUUAUUUAACCGGGAGCUUAUUGGUGCCUCAGGUUGGAGAUUCUGACCAGAAGCUAGCAGAUGGAAUUUCACUGUACUCAAUUGUGACUGAUAGUUACGUUAAACAGGGAAUUCUCGCGCCUCUGAUAACAGUAUGCCUUCUUACACCAUUUCUUAUGUGUUAGUUCUGAUUAAUGAUUGUUAUCAUCAUUGCUGUUUCGUUGAUAUCAAGAUUUAUUAUUUUUAAAUAAUUUUUCUAAAUAUAUAAAAUAUUUUUAACAACAAAAGAGCUAGAUAAUAAGCCCUAUCACUUAACUUGCUUCUGUUGUUUAUUCUAAAAAAAUGUAUCUUCUGGUAGGAGCAUGCGAAAGGAGGAAAGUGUAUUGUGUUCACUCAAACAAAACGUGAUGCUGAUCGAUUAUCACAUAGCAUGUCGAAAAGUCUUAAAUGUGAGGCCUUGCAUGGAGAUAUAUCACAAGCUCAAAGGGAAAGAACUUUAGCUGGCUUCAGAGAGGGUCAUUUUAAUGUUCUAGUGGCGACUGAUGUUGCUUCACGUGGACUUGAUAUACCUAAUGUUGAUCUUGUGAGUUCCUUUUUUCCCCAAUGAAAUCAUUAAGAUAUCCAAUCUAUUCUAUUCCAUGUUUAUUGACAUUUGAGAAUAACUCUUAUUUUCCCCAUGAUGUUUUUCUUUUCUUGUUACAUUUUUUCUUAAUGUAUAUGAGAUAUUUCUUAACUAUGUCAGGCAAGGUAUGCGUGAUUGGUUCAUCUCUAAUUGGUUACUGUUUAUGUAUGUUAUUUUAUGAAUUGGAUUCUCUACAUUUCCCAGUUACCUUCACUUUCAUUUCAAAUUCAGGGCAAGUUUGGCAGAAAUCAGUAAAUAGCUUCUGAUAUUUCUUAUGCUGUAUAUCCUCGUAUUAUGUUGAAGUGUGCUUUACAGAAUAAAUAGAGAUUUACGAACUGUGCUGGACUCUUUCUAUGCUGCGAUAAUAUUAUUAGGUUUUUCGUUACCAUAUUGAUAGCACCUUGAAGUAUGCAAACAUCCGAUCCCUCUUUCUUCUGUGCUUUAUAAUCUUCAAGUAGGGGAUAAUUUCAUAACAGAUGCUCAGUUCUUACUUCUUAGCAAUGCAGCAAUGGCUCUUAUUUUCAAAUGUUGAAAUUAGCAUAUGUUGGGUGCUAUGGAAAUCAUUGAAUUACAAAGCAACCUGCAUCAUUAAUUGUCUGCAAGAGUCUGCUUCUGUUCACGUUUCUAUAAAUUUUGAAAAAAUUGUAGCUUCUUGUUUGUUGCUUUCUUUGUUAUUCUUUUGGAUGGAUCUGGUCUUUGUCAAUGUUUUAUGCCACACUUUGUUUCAUUAGUCAUGUGUAUAUGCAAGUACUUCGGCAUAGAAGAUUCUGUUGUUAUUCUAUUCACUUUUUACAUGUGAGGAUCUAACUUUUGUUCCUUGAAUAGGUAAUACAUUAUGACCUUCCCAAUAAUUCAGAGAUAUUUGUUCAUCGAUCUGGACGAACAGGUCGUGCCGGUAAGAAAGGAACUGCUAUUCUUGUCCAUACUGAAGAUCAAUCCAGGGCUAUUAGGACUAUUGAGCGUGAUGUGGGCUCUAAAUUUAAAGAGGUGAGCUCCUUGCAUUCUAUCCAUUCCUUUGGGCCUAUCAUUUUUAAUGGAAGUUGUACUUUGUCCAUUGCUGAUUUAGUAGUUGUAGAAAAUGAGGUUAAACUAAAAUGGUAGUAUAUCCUCCUGCCUAAAAUCCACCCUUUUACUGGGAUUUUAAUCUGUGAAACACCAAGUUAUAACAUGUAAUGUUGAACAACUGAUACAGUGAUGUGCCCAAAAAGUUCAUUAUUAGUUUGUGGACAAGGUCGCGCCAAGCACUGAUAAAACUCAAGUUACCGAAAAUCUUAAUUAUUUUUCUGUGUGUCUACUCUUUUGUGGUAUACUUUAAGAAAAUCACAUACAACCUGUGAACUGGUAUACUCUAAGUUAUUUUUACUAUUAUUAUUAUUUUUUAUAUUAUGAUUGUUGUUCUCCAUCUUCCGUGCUGAUUACAUCAUCGGUCAGUAUUCUUUUUUCUUCAGGAAUCUAUGUAUAAUGAUUAACUGAUCACUUUUGUAUUCCAAUAUUCAUGUUUAUUAGCUACCAAAGAUUGCUGUUGAUAGAGCAUCAGUGGAAUCAUUCGGUGGCAUGGGGGGUGGGCGUUUUGGUUCAUUUGGCGGCGGAGGUAUGAGGGAUGGAGGUUUUGGCCGUAGUUCUGGAUCUGGCCGCUCUGGGGGCUACAGUAACUCUGGAUCUGGUCGCUCUAGCUAUGGAAAUUCUGGGUUUGGCGGAUCAAGUAGAUCUGGAGGAGGAUUUUCUGGUAAUUCAUCUGGUGAGAAUAGAUAUGGUGGAUCAGGCUCUGGUCGUUCUGGCUCAUUUGGUGGAGGUAGAUCUGGCGGAUCAUCCGGUGGAUUUAAAUUUAGUGGAUCAGGUGGUGGUUUUGGGGGAUUUGGCGGUUCAGAUAAAUCUGGUGGUUUUGGAGAUUUUGGCUCAAGGUAAGGCUAGCACGUGUGGGGAUUCUCGUGACAGUGAUCAGAACGAUAGAAAUCAUUUUAACUUCACAAGUAUCAUAAAAGCACCAUCUUCAUUUCUUGGUGGUUUAGUUUUUGUAAAGUUUGGUUGUCAUUUCAUCUAAAACUUGAAGCUAUGUAGGCUAUGCUUGUUGUACCACUAAGGAUUGGAGAAGGUUAUUAUUUAUAACAUAAGAAUCACAAGUUCUAUUGGGUAUAAGACUUUUCUUCUCUGGGGAUUUUUGGCUCAACCUCAGCUAUAUUGCAUUAUGCUCCAUCUAUGAAAUAGAAAAAUGAAGGGCUGUAUUCUAUGGAUUCCAUCAGCUCUCUUUCAAGCAAUCAAAACAUGAUUCUGGUUAUGUGUAUUUAUCAUGAAAGUUUUGAAGACACCUUUAUGAAGAGUAGUGAUUCAAUUUAUUUAUAUGUAAUUUAUGUUCCUUGAAACAGAUAAUGGGCACAAUGAAAUUUCUUAGAAAGCGGCUGGGUGCUUUGUUGUUUUAUUUUAUACUAUGAUUUUGUUGAGCAAUUAAAUUCUUAUCUAUUAUUUUAUAUUAACCUACCUGUUAUUUAGUUUCAGCUCCCUUACUCUGGUUGCUCUUGUAGUUUGAUAACAUAAUUUCAUAAGAACCAAGUUGAUUAAUUCCUACCCUUCAUUGUAUUUGUACUACAAAUGUUAUAUUGUAUUAAACCACUGGGGAACAAUAGGAUAGUUAAAUAUUUAGAAAGAAAAAUGCAGUAAACUGGUUGAUUAUGAAAAAAUUUGUGGCCUGUGGGUGAGGAUGCGUAAACAAACCCUAAAUCCAAAUUGAAACUGGGUUCAUAUAAAACUUUGAAAAUUGAUGCAAAUCCCUUAUAACUAGUAAUGUCUCAUGAACCUUAUGCGCCAAUGUACUUAAUAAAAUAAAAUAUUGUCAAUAAAAUUAUGCAAAUGUAUUAAAAAAAAUUGGUAGAAGAAAAAUUUAAAAAGAAAAAGAAAGCACUACAAAUAGUACAAAUGGUAAUGGGGGAGAAAGACCAUGAGGAGCGUCGUUAGAUUAGACCUACCUAGGGUUCACAUAUGAUGUGUGAGAGACUGAGAAUAAACGUUUGGAUAAAGCUACAUUAGACCUACCUUAGGGCUCAGAGAAGUUCAAUGCGAAGCUACUCAAGCUAGUUAUACUUGUACCAUUUUCAACACACUUUAUUCGAUAACGUACUUCAGAGAAUAAAGUGUGGAGUUAUAACCCUUGAUUAGAAAAUUAUUCCUUUAAUCUUAACAACUUCAAUAUUAGGGAUGUGCAUACUAUAUAUACCAGUCUUACGCUUUACUCUCCGAAGUGCACAUUACUUUAGAGGAGGCACAACCUUCUAAAAGACUUGUAUUUACCAUUAUUUUAUUUUUAAUAAACCUUGUUGAUUUUAUUUUAAAAUAAACCUAAUCAUAAAGAAUGUGUUAAAAAAUAUAAUAGCAUUCCUCAAAUAUAAAUCCAAUAAUUGUCCUAAAUGCUAAUCUUGAUUAUCUAGCAAUUAACAACAAACACUAGUAGUUUUUGAGACAAAAAAAAAACAGCUCUAUUAUGAUUAACAAUAUAAAUUAUUUACAUCAGCAUUUAUGUGAUCUAAAGUUGACAAGAAAACAAUUGGGGGCAGCAAGGAGAGGGGGAGUAACUAAACCCAACCACAAGCCAUAAGCUAAUAUAAUAUAAAUUAUGGAUUGUACAAAAAAACUAUAUGGCAUAGCAAGUUCACUUUAUGGCUUCACAGUUUCAGCAUUAUGUAAUUUACACUUUCAGUCACCAAGAAUUGAGAGAAGUAGCUUUCUCUUUUCGUUUACUUUAUGAUUUUUUUUCUCUUAUUCAAGUCCAUCAAUUGUCAGCUGCUGCAUAAUUCCUUGUGAUAUUCUUUCAUGAAAAAACUCCAAGCUAACCAGGCUGCCCCAACAGCAGGCUCCACCUGUUGUGCAGUAAACCCAAGAAUCAAGAUGUUAAAAUUUGAUUCUAUGCUGAUGUUCCAUGACAUCUAAAGCCUUAAUAUUCUUAAAAAUUUGUGCAUGUUUGGAAAUCAUCCUACAAUUAAUUUAAAGUAAAAAAGCUUAUGUGAGUAGCUUCUGAGUUUUAGAAUUGAUUCUAAGGAAAAAAUCUAUACUAGAAAUAUUGAAGGCUACCAACUAGAUAUAAGGAAAUAUAUGCUGACCUUAGGUCUAAUUGGAAGUACCCCAGGAAAGUACUUGGAAAUGCAAUCUACGACUUCUUUUCCUAUAUCCCAUCUCCUGUUUGCUUCGAGAACACCACCAACCAUGACAAGGGGAAAAUCAUCAUUUCCAUCUGCCAAAAUUAGAAUACAAGUCACAGAUCAAUGAAACAUCAUCUUAUCGUUCAUGCAUGAUAUUCAUACAGACAAAAAUGCCAUUAAUUUGUUUUAUAUUUUAAAAGAGUGUUCUAGUGGCCAACUCAGUGUUAUGUUGAACUCAACGUGAAUCCCCAUGGAACUCGACGUGCCAAAAUCUAGCCUGUCUAUUUGAUAGAAACCAGAAAAUUAGCAGUAGUUUAUUGAUAGAACCCUAAUUCCCAAUAGGGGAUUAGGGGAAAGAUACAUGAGAGAGAUACCAAACACCCUCUCUAACCCUAGAAAGAGAACCACUUCUCUCUCUAAACCCAAUUCCUAACUGAAUACAAAGAUACCCCUAAUGUUCACUAACUUCCCUUAUUUAUAGGCAACAUGCCUUAUUAAUACCCUCUAACUAACUAGCUAAUAUGUGAGUACCUAUCACUAUUGAUACCUCAAGAUACGUGGAAUCACGUUAGCGUUUCCAAACACACUCAAUUAGCUUGGUGUGCUUUUCUUGAAGGAAAUGAUGAUACAGCUAAUUGUGUAAGCAAAAAAUAUGAUAAAUGUGACCUAGAACCAAGUUAAGAUCCAAAUGCAAUUGCAAUAUCCAGGCAGGGAAGAUUUGAAUAAGUUUCUCUAGUGAGGCACUUAUUACAGAGAAAAUGCUUUUGUCCAUAUCAAGAGUUUGACAACUUUUGCCAAGCCUUGGUAAGUUGGUAAUAAUAUGCAUCUUUAUGGAAGCAUCUCAGAUCCAAGAGAAUAAGAUCGACAAACGGUUUUCAUUAAUUUGCAAAAGGAAUGUGAUAGGGUUCUUAAAGAUUCAUGGCGGAUGACUCUAAAAUAGGAGUUCAUAUUGCUUACAUUCAAGCAAUCAAAGAUAUAUAAGAGAGGGUCACGAAUAGCGCGAGAACACAAAGGUUUUCCUAUAACUACAGGUUGGCAUCAAGUUCAACUUUGAGCCCUUAUCUCUUAUUUUGGUUCUAGAUGAGUUUACUGAACUUAUCCAAGAGAUGUUAUCACGAUGCAUCUUACUUGAAGAGAUGGAAAGUUGAAGAAUUAGAGGCAAACCAUAGAAACAUAUGAUUUUCAUUUAAGUAUAAGGAAAACAUAAUAUAUGGAAUGUAAGUUUAAGCAGAAGGCACACAAAUAUUAACUUAGAGGUGAAAAUUGGGAAGCACACAAUACCACAAGUCUCAGGGUUUAAGUAUAUCGGGUUCAUCAUAGAGAAUGAUUAGGAGAAAAAGAAAAAUGUCAACCAUAUGAUCCAAAUAGGGUAGAUGAUAUGAAGGAAUGCUUCAAGUGUAAUUUGUGAUAGAAAAGUAGUACUCAGAAACUUUUUAUAGCACAAUUGUAAGACCUACAAUUUUGAUGGGACUGAAUGUUGAGCGGUAAAGACUCAACCAAAAAGUAAGGCUAGUGUUACAGGGAUGAGAAUGUUACUACGAAUCAAUGAUCACACAAGACGAAGACCACAUUAGGAAUGAAAUCACAAAAAAAGAUGUUAGCCUCAUCUUAGGGUGUAUGUAUGAAGAAAAACCAUAAAAGCACUCUUAAGGAGGAUAGACUAGGACCUCAAAAAAAAGGAGGAUAGACUAGAUAUAGGAUAGACCAAUAGUUAGGUAAAUGAGGUCGAGGAAAACUAUAUCCUAAACCAUUAAGAGAAAUAUGGAGUUAAAUAAUCUAUCACUAGAUUUGAUACAUGAUAGGGUAUUAUGUCAUCGAUUGAUCUAUGUAGUAGACUACACCUAGUGGGAAAAGGAUUUGGUUGUGUUAUGAAGCAUCUCAGUUUCAGAUACCAAGAAUGAAGCUAAAAAUACAACUUCUCGAAGGAAAAAACAGUCCUCGCUUUCCUAAACAUUACAGAAAUGACAAUUCAGCUUUCCGGCAGUCUCACAGCUAAAGCAACCUAAAAUCAGAUUGUUAUUGCACAUCAGUGGUCACAAUAUCUUAUGCAUAUUACUUUAUAUAUGAAAAUCAAUACUGCACACCACAGGAAAAGUAUGGGUAUCUCUAUCUAUGAUGAGUACAAAUGUCAUGAAAUUAAAAAAGAUAAUUAAAAUAACACCUAACCUUUGCCACACAAUCCAAGUCUCCCUACAACAGCUUUUACACUUGAAGCCAGCUCUUGCACAGAUUCUUGCAAGAUCUUAUUUGCAACCUCAUCCCCAGCUUCUGCACAUGACACCACAACUGGAACAAGUGCAGCAAUGCGCGCCCAAGAUGGAUCUGCGUAGGUCCACCUGAUUUUCAAUGAGACAAAAAAAAAGAUUGAGAUCCUGUAUCAUGCUCAUUCAUAUUUGGAUGCCAAUUAUAUUUUUGUGUAUUCUAUUCUAUGACUAUCAGGAUUCCAGAAAUUGAUAAAAAAGUUCUCUGAAAAGGAUUUUUAAAUACAUAUACAGCAGGGGGUUUUAGGGGUCCAGGGGGUUAGAAGACGAACUUAUCAUACAUAGUUAUUUCAGCUAUUAUAAAUUUUAUCAACAGAAAAACAAAAUCAAUAAAGCAAGUUCUUUAGACUUUUGAAUCUAUUCCAGAAACAAAAAACAUGCAUUCCAACAACAAAAUACCAAAAGCUGGACAAGGCAUGAAAAAAUUGAUGAAAUCAAAUUAUAUUGAGAAAAUUGCCGCCAACUUAGAAUUUCUCAUUUUUGAAAUAAUAUGAACUCACAAAACUUAUUUGCAUUUGUUGAAUGGAUUGACAAGGGACAAACACAUACCAAACUAAAUGCAAAUAAUGAGCAGACCUCAUCAUUUUUCUCUCUAUAAAGUGCACAAAAUGGCUUCAAAUUAUAAGAUUUCAUGAUCCAAGUUGUUUACUUUAUAAAUAUAUAUAAAAUGAACAAAUACAGAAAUACUAGAGAAUAUACCCUAUUAAUUCUUCUGCAGAAGAAAGACCAAGCGUUUGUAAAAUACUACUCAUAAGCAUUGUACUUGGACCACGACCAUCAUGCGCUUUAACUACUGCAGUUAAUGCCUGCGCAGAUAUUCCAUAUCCACUGCAAAUCAAAAUCAAAAUUCUCAACCAAACGGUAGAAAGAAUCAAGUUGGCAUUGAAAGAAAGAACUUCUGUGAUGCUCUUAUUUAUUGCUCUCCUUCCUAGUCAUUUUUUUAAGUGAUAUUGAUUAUCAAUGUACAUGAUGGUGAACUAGCUUUCAAGAAAACUAAGACCAGACCAAUUUAUAAACUUAAAAGACUUUUGAGCUACUUGAAUUAUCAUUCUGCCCACAAGUCCUUGCUUCACCAAAAGAUGAUUCUCAUGGUUAAGAAAGUAUAGAGGAGAGUAACAAAGAGUAUUGCAAGGAGAUAGAGAGAGAGACAGAGAGGGUGGGGGUCAUGAAAGACAAGAAAAUAGUUGCAACCAAUUACCUCCCCCAGUCACCUAAGACAGGUCCGGCACCAGCAGCCCUUGCUUCUUUUCCAUCUUCAGUAAAUCCAUAUGCAAUGGUCCCCGUGCCCGCAAUCAAUACACAUCCAUGAAGUUUACCAAUUGUUCCGCUUGACAGAGCAGCUACAGCAUCAUUCCGAACAUGUAAUCUCACGUAACUUGGGAAUAUACCCCUGUUUACAUCAAGUCACAAAUACAACAUACUUCAGUCUCUAAAGCAGUAGAGAAACUACAACGGAGAUUAAAUGACAACAUUUUUAAAGAAAUUAACCAGAAAAAUGCACACUUAAGUUACAAUUUAACUACAGCUUCAAUCCUUUUGAGUUAAGUUCUUAAGUUCUAUUGAGGUCCUUACUUCAAUUCUUUACACAUUGCUUUUGCAAAUUCAAAAAUGAAGAAAUUCAGUACCAUUCAAUCUAGAAUAUUGAAAUAUGGAGUAAGACAACAAUACAGGAAAACUGAAAGCAGCAGAGAUUACAUGGGAACUCUCCUUUAUAAAAGUAUGUUGUUCAUGACAAGGUUAACUCAGUUUAUUGAAUUCUGGAAGGAGAUAUCUAUCCUAAUACUAUGAUAAACAGACUUAGUUGUGUAAGUCAGAAUUAUCAGUAACAUUGAGUCCACCAAUUUUUCACAGCAGAUAAAAUAUGGUACUAUGGGAAGAGGUAUUUCCUUUCCUUCCAUAACUUCAAUACAUUACAAAAACUGACAGAUCAUUUAUCUCGUCAGAGACAAAUUUAACAACGUACAUUCGUUACUUCUAAAAGGCUAACACAUAAAUAAGAUAACUAAAUUUGUUUUAGCUUCUUUAAUAACAAAAGAGUAAAAAAAACGAUAUAAAUUGUAAUCCAAAAAUAAAGGAUGUACUAAUAUUUAGUAACCUAAGCCAACUGAGAAUUCUUUGUUGAUCUGUUGGAUGGUUAACACCAGAUACAGCCAUACAAACAGCACGGACUGAAGAUCGUUUUGAACCACAUUUUGACAGUGCAUCUGCCAUAACUUGCUCUAACGUUUCCCUUGCAGCAAUUUCUGUAGAAGAAGUGAUUAAUGGUAACAACUAACAAUAUAAUAUCCUUAAAAUGUGAUCUUCAUUCUAUUAUCAUAGAUAUAAUUCGUUAAAAAUAAUGGCAUAAAAUAUUUUCUGUUGUCUAUACAUGAACUUUACUUUAAAAAUCAGAGCCAAUGGUGAUGCUACAUGUGUACUUGGCAAGAAAACAUAAGUUACCAGCAACCUUUAUCAGAGAAAGGAGAGGGAGAUGGUUAAAGUAAGUUAUCCAUAAGUAAUUUUUGAGAGAAAGUACAAAGUGGAGAUAGGAAAAACAUCUAAAGACAAAAACACUGUUACCACUUGUCAGAACUUCUUUGCAAUGCUAAAUAGAUAAGCUUAUCACAAAGUCAAUGAUGAGAUAGUAUGUAGUCUUUAAGAUAUCAACAACUCAAACCAAACAAGGUGCCACUAGAUUGCAUUUCCCCCUAGAUGAUGAUCAACUUGCCACAGCUUUAUUGUAGGUCAUAGUCGCUUGUGCACCUUGUAUGAAUAAAAUAUUUAGCUUCAUAAAAUAACCACUUUCUCCAAAGCAAUUUUUUUUGCUUACCAAAUUACCUAAGCUAUAACCAACAUCCUCCAAAAUUCUCUCCAUUGUCCCCAACCCACAAAGAAGUGGUUUUGAAGGAAGUAUACAUUGAAAUAAUUGAAAUUACUCAGAGCCACAACAAGUAUUGGAUUGUUACAUAACCAACAAACACCCCCAAAAAUCCAAAGAAAAAUCAAAAUUUGAAAUUAGCCCACAUAGCAAGACUAAACAAAGUUUGGAUCAUUGUUGUCACAAUUGAUUCUAUAGUAAAAAGUGAACUGAUUUAUGUUUGAUACAUUUAAGAAUUAAGAAAUUUUCUUACUACCAUUCCUAGCUUCUAGCAUAAUUGAUUCUGGAACUAAAAUUAAAUCUUCCAAAAGAUCUAUAUUGUGUCAUCCAAAAUUGAUUUUACUCUUCUGAGGUUCCCAACAUGGAACAAAACACACAUACAAAGUCAAAACUUAGACAAUUUACCUCCAACACUAUUGUGAUUAGAGCAACCAGCAACAGCCCUUGCAAGGAUAGGAAGAGAUUGAAGCUGAGAAUGAGAAAAAGGAAUCAUAGGCAUGCAAAUGCAGACAGUGGAGGUGGUCCCACCAUCCAAACCCAACAAGACACCACCAGUUUCACCAUCAGAAACAGGCAUGAUGUCAUCCUCAAAAUCCCAGAUUUCACCAUUCCUGUACCUCUUCAUCUCAGCAUCAAUCAGCAACUGCUCCUUCUCCUGCUCCUGCUCCUUCUCCUGCUCUGGCGUCAUCACAAUUUGACAAUUUGAAGAGAGAGAAAUCAAUGUUGACAGAAAAAGACACGAGAAUGAGAACAAGGAGAAGAGGAUGAGGAAAGUUUCGAUUUUUAAUAAUGGGGUGUCGCUUAAAUAUGAAAAAGUUUCCAGCUUGGACGGCCACUGCAACAACCACUCUCUCUCUCUCUCUUACCUUGAUGAUAUCUUUUGCUGCAAAAACAAACCAGGAAGAGAGAGAAAGUUGAUUUCUUUUUUGGUGCAGAAAAAGCAAACCAGAAUUCCUGAUUAGUGGUGAAUUCCUGAACAACCACUCUCUCUCUCUCUCUUACCUUGAUGAUAUCUUUUGCUGCAAAAACAAACCAGGAAGAGAGAGAAAGUUGAUUUCUUUUUUGGUGCAGAAAAAGCAAACCAGAAUUCCUGAUUAGUGGUGAAUUCCUGAAUCAGAUACCCAAAAUCAUGUAUCAGGAUCAGGAUUUACUGAUUUAGGAUCAACAAUGCAAUUACUAUGUUGUUGUUUUUUAAGGGAAACUAUGUUAUAAAUUACAAUCACUUGAAUUAUGAGUUAAUACUAUUAUUGCCUAGAAAUGCACAAAUUAAGUAAUGUGGGAAAAAAAAAAUAUUGGAAUUGAUCUCAAACGGUUCAGUAUUAAAUAUCUAGCUUAUCACGAUCGUUUUUAAAUAAUUUCCACAAACAAUUAUCAUGCGAAGUUGACUCAUUUAUUGAUAAUAUGGUUAAUCAAAUCAGGUUUGAAAUUGUCUUAAUUUAUAGGCAGGAUUGAAUGAUGUUAGGAAACUUAAUGAUUGCAAUGAUCAAAUUGACUGAAUUUAUUAAAGUUUCUAUAAUAAUAGAAAUUGAGAGCAAUGAUUUUGUUAGGAUAACAUCAUCAUAAAAAUUCGAGAUAUCUAUAACAUAGAAUAAUAUUUUGAGUUUUUUUUUUUUCAUCAAAUAAUAAAUGUCUAAAAAAUGAAUAAAAUUGUUUAUGACAUCAUCAAACAACUAAUUUUAAUAAAGGAAAUGAGUAAAAUCAAAAAUCACACAAAAGUUAGAAUUGACACCUGUUUGAUUUUAGAUUAUAGUAUAUGAUUUGAUGUGUGAUACGUAUAAUUUUCCGUGAAUUGUAAUAAAAUGCACUUGUAUAUAGAAUGUUUUUUUUUUAACCAUGAGUAGCUCUACUCUUUGUUGAAACAAACAUUGUUUCACUUAGGUGUGGUGGUAAAUAUCAAAAGUCUCUCCAAUAGUGCAUUUGCUAAGGAUAUCUUUGACCUCAGGAGAUAUAGAAUGUAUUUUUUUAGGUAAGUCCAGAAUACCCACCGUCAAUAGCAAUGACUAAUCUCUUCAUUAGAAUAAUAAUAAACGUUUGAAUACACUAUGCAUUCCCAUACCCAUGCCCAAAAAUGUAUUUCAAUUUUCAACAAAACAGAUUCUUUGUGUUUAUUGAAUAAUAAAAGAAUUGCCGGAUAAAAUAGAAUCAGAUCUACAGUUCAUCACUUUUUCUCGAUUCUCCUUUGAAAAUACAUUUAUUAUACAUUGUUGUUUGAAUAUAUUAAUUAUGCAUAUGGUGUUUGUAUGAUAUUAAAACAGAACAAUUCAAUAUUUUAAAAUUUCGCUGACUUAAGGAUAAGGACUUGUUAGGUUAGUCCUAAAACAAGAUUGCUAUUAAACUCGAACUUGGGUCUAGGUUAAUAGAUCACGGGUUGAACUAAUAAGUCAGAAGAAUGCAUGCUCUCAAUUGUUAGAAAAAAAAUUGAUUGUCAUGUUUCAUCAUUUAACCACACAAAUCAGUGAGAUGAUAAUCCUGACUUAGUCAAUUUUAUUUACAAGAGGAUCAAUUUCCAUAAAUCAGUGAUUGAAUAUUAAAAGGCCAAAAGAGAUAAAUCCAUGUCAAAGCCACCUUCUUCAACAUAGUAAUAGUCUUACCGUCACUUAACAUGCAUUUUGAUUUCAUUGCUCAAAUUAUGUACUUAAAGUGACAAACUGGUUAAGAAAUAAAAAACCGUAUAAGACAUACACGAAGGGAGUCAAUUAGAUUGAAUUUUAUAGUUCAAUAAUAAUAAUAAUAUGAUUGAUUGAAAAACCAAGUUCAGUAGUGACUGAUAACACUAUAUUUAAUGUUGGAACCAAACAAAUAACCCAAGUGAUAAGUUAUAUCAUUUUUUUGAAACAGUAAGUUAUUCUUAUUGAAACCAAACAAAUGGUGAUAUUGAUAUCAGUAUUUUCUCAGUUGAACGAUUACAAUGUGUUUUUGGAUUGUGAAUCUGUAAGUUUACUAAAAUAAUUUGCCAUUCCUUUUGGUUCUGGAUUGGGAAUUUGAAGUUUUGAUAAAAUGAAACUUCCGCAUUUCAAAAUUAACAAGUACCUCUAUUCCCCUAUAGCUAUAGCCUAUAAGGCAAUUUUACACUAAUUUAAAUUACCAGCAUAAUCAUGUGGCAUGAUAUGAAAAGAAUGUGAGUGUAAAUAUAUCGAAACACAAAAUUUAUAGGCUCUCAGCACCACUUAUUGUUGGCAGUAUGACCCGCUUCCAACCUGGGUAAAAAUAUGUUAAGGGCCAAAAGGGGAUUCAUUUAGCUGCUAAGGACCAAAACACUUCGAUUAUGAAGCCUAGGUUUGGUUCUUGCAGCUACAAAUCCCCCUUUGGUAGAGACACAAUUUCCUUACUUCCCCUUUACCUGAACUUUAUGUCAGAAAAAUUAUUUGUAGGACUCACCUGGAAAUAAUGUACAGAUCACCAUUUAUACAAGAACACGUUAAUUGCUCCAGAUCAUGCUAUCUAAGUGCAAUUUGGAAAUCACAAAAUCGAAAAAAUGAGGACUAGUCACCUAGGGAAUAGGGAUACUAAACUCAUACUCGAUUUUAAACAUUCCGCCGUGACUUUGUGUUCUUUUUUCGCCUACAUGGGGGAAACAAAAGUCGCCAAAUCUGUUUUUCAGCCGCAUACACUGAGUUAGCCUGCAAAAGCAAAGAGGAAGAAACUCAACUAUUGAGUUUGAAAAGGUACCAUACAGGACAUUUUUCUUCAACCAUGUUUAUAUCCAGCAUAUUCCACAAAAAUGGUUAUAUAAGAAAGGGGGCAAGUCUAUGAAGUGCAGUAGCCUGAGUGGCGCAACUUGAUAAAUAAGCCUUGAAUGAAAGUUGGGUACUGAAAAUUCUUCUUUCACAUGUGGCCAAUGACAAACAUAACAGUUCCUCUCUCCCCCCCCCCCCCACACACACACACACAACCAAUGACAAUGCACCUUCAUUGCAUUUGAUGUAGUGGUUGCCCUAGACACUUGUACUUCUCCCUUCCCUUUUAUUUUUCAGUCUACAGGUUAGUUUACUUUCAUUCCUUCUGGAGAAUCAUGUUUAAAUCCUCUUUCAGUGUGCUACAAGCAUGUGGUGGACACCUGCCAAAUUGACUGACCAAGAGCCUCGGACUUGUAGUUUUGCUGAAAAUAUGAUUGAUAAGACUUGACCCUCUCAAACCCCAAAUAUUACUAUUAAAAAAAUUCAAAUAAUAAGGUUCCGAUUAUAGUUACAAAGCUAUGCUGGUAAAAUAUUUUUUUGGGCCAUUAUAUUAUUUUUUGUUCCAUUGGAUGGAUAUUUUAUAAUACUAUCAUGUUAUGCUUACCAAUUUCAUUCCUGAACUUGACACAUUUUUUCAACUUAGUUUUCAUGUAAAAUUCCACCGAAAUGUAGUCCGCGGGCUUUCUUCCCUUCCCGUCCUUCAAUUAGUCCCCGGACUAUUUAGGAAAGGAAUAACGUGAAGGACUGAAAGAUAGAUCAGGAACUAGUCAUGGGAAAUUUGUACGGGGAGUCGGGGACUAAGUUGAAAAAAGGCGUCAAGGGGUGACGAAAUUGGUGGUUUACUUUGUUAAGCUUCACAUCAAACACUGGAUGGCACAAAACUCAUCAGCUUCUUACACAAUCAACCCUCAAAAUUUGCAUUGGAAAUUGAUUGGAUUAGAUGAUUCUAAUAACUAAUACACAUGUUCAGCAGGAUGUUCAGGUGAGGAUCCAUACUAGAACCAACCUGAAAAAAUGCACAUUCAAUUGAAACAAAGAGAUCCAAGAUGCUUACCUGGACUUUGAAUGGAAAACGGUGACUUUUUACUUCUGUCCCUGAAAAAACUCUAAGAUCCAAGCCUAGGCUGUCAACCCCAAUCAAGUGUGCUCGCUGGAAGCCAAGUAAUGACAGCGAUUUUUAACACAGACAUACACCUCACCAUUUAGGCAUUGUGCAUUAAAAUAAAAUACUAACCACCGAAAAAUUGGAUUACCUCAGCAUCAAGACCUUUCUUUUUGCAAAGUGCUUUAAGAGCACCAUCACAGUUUUGGUUGAAGUGUUCCACAAUUGCCAAAGAAGAGUGUACAAGAAUAUCAGGUUCAGCACGUUGAAACUCUUGGAAACUAAUGUCAGACUGCAAUUUUUUGUACAGGCAUAACUUGUUAUUUAAUAUAUAUCUGUACAAAAUUAAUGUUCUCUAAAUAAUGCUUCAAAUUGCACAAAGUACUGUUCAGCAUACACACACACACAACCAGUUUCUAAAUACAUGCCUGACAUCCAUACACGGAGUGUAGCUUGAUUUUCACGAUCUCCAGUCGAUAGAGUGUCAAACUAGUGUCUCUUUGAUCAUUGAUACUACUUGAAUAAAAAUCUUUACCAUCUAAAGAUUAAAAAGGAGAAAUGUUAAAUGGCAGUUUACCAAUGAAUCUAUGAUAUUGUUUAUGUCACAGUAAGAUCUUGCAUGUUACUUAGAAAGAGGAUGCUCUGUAUAACAUAGAUGCGAUAUGCUCACAUAACUGCAAUGAUAACUAACAAGCUCUAUUGAUAUACUGCAAUACUAGAUUGGUAUCCCUAGACAAGAAAACCAAAGAGCAAGAGUAGCUGAAAUCCAAACAACUAGUUCCAGGGCUUAUAUGCCAAAUAAACAAAACACACGAACUUUAUUCAACUAAACAAGAUCCUUAUGCAACAAAAUUCAGUAAGUACAAAUUGUGAGAGAAAAGUACAGAAUACUCUGCUCUUUAACAUGCUCUUCAGACACGAGCAAUAGUAAGAAGGUUAUGUAGUGUAUAAGAUGCACAUGAAAGUCAGGCUACAAAUUACUAAACUACUUAUGGUGCAUACUAGAUUACCCUACCAUAAUUAUAUCCUUGCCUUCCACUUCCAAUGCAAGAAACUUUUUGUUAUCCUUGAUUCCUUGAAUAAAAAAAUAAGUUCUUUAUCUCUACAUUCCAUAGAGUUUCUCCUCGAUAAACCCACAAUGAUUUUUAAUUUUUUUUAUAUUAAAUGUGUAAAAGAAACCUGUAGAAUUCUAAAUAUCAUUCUUCAAGAAAUUGGAUACCUUUCCUAUCUGAGCUGUAUCCAUCACUUACUUCAGUGGGAUACAUCCUCCUUACAUAUGACUCUUCAUCAGCAUAAGCAGGUCUAAGGUAACCCAGAAUAGAAACACCAUUGGAUGGACAAUUCAUACUUUUCUCACAUUCCAUGUUGACAGCCUAGAAGAAAAUUCAUAGAGAAUCAACAUUAUUCUUCCAGAGAUGUGAAUUUAUUAAAUCUUUCUCAUGUUUAAACUUGAAACUAUUAGUUAUAAGCUUUUGUCAGUUGGGUGAGGGGAGGGGGAACCUUUGUUAAGCACUUCGAAAAAUAAAGUGGAUGAGCUGAGCUAUUAAUAUCUGGCUGUCUCCAAUUCACUGGAGUAUUAAUAUCUUCCAUUUCCAGAACCUGCUUGCAGAAUAAUAUACUUGAGAUAUGAAUUUCUAAGAUGCAGAAAAGAAAUGAAGUAACUAAGACAACUAACUAAAUUCCAUAAAUUAUGCAUUUUAAACUGCAAACCUCAAUAUAACCAUCAUCAAAUGGGAAUUCAUCAUCGUCACCACUAUUGAAAAUGGCAUCUUCACUAGCAGUCCUUCUAUUAUCAUAUAUUGGGAUGUCCAUUCCAAUCAAAGCAUUCUGGAGAUAAAUAAACCUUGAAUAUCAAUUUCAAAACUUCGAACACGAACAUAAGGAUUGAACACGAAAAUACCAUGAGAAAACUACUUCAGUUUACCAUACUAACUACAAAAUGUAGCUCUUUUAGCAAGCCAUUGCACAAAAACAGAUUUGAAUAGCCUAAAACCAAUACAAGGUUUAAGUUGACUACACUCUGUAUUAAUAAUUCUGCAUAUUUUGACGUGCAGUAUCUCUUCUAUGACUAUGGCUUACUAGUUUGAGUGAAAACAUUAAAUCUAUCUGGGAUUUCAGAUUGCAUCAGUAAAGAAAAGAAGAACAUGAAGAUAAAAAGUUGGUGCACGGUUGGAAACUGCCUCCCCAUCCCCACAUCCCUCCCCUGUCCCCAUCUCUGAUCCCCUCUAGAGGUAUAUUUUCCCCUUGUCCCUGCCUCCUCCUGAAUUGGUCAUAAAAAUUUUAAAAUUCAAAAUGAAAAAGGAAUAAUACAAAAAUUUAUGCACUAAAUUCAAACCCGCAAAUGACAAGUCUGCAACAAAAAAUCCAAUACAAAUAUACAAUAAAAUGCAAAUAACAUAACAUAAACUAAAAUUCAACAUCAAGCUAUGUGUUAAGUCUUUAAAAUAAGAAAUACAAAAUGUGAUGUCCAGUAUUCACUAAAUCGCGAUGAAGGUGAAAUUUUUUGAUGGUGGAUGACGGUCAACGAUGAUAAAGGGGUUUCUGAGAUGUGUCAGGCACACAAAAAUGUUGAAUAUCAGAGAAUGGAUGCAAUGAAGGCUACCCAAGUUCAUCCACAAUGAAGUCAAAGCGCAAUGAAGGCGGCUAGGGUUAAGAUGCGGAAGCAGAGCCCCUCAGUAUCGGGAGCUCUGAGGCUAGGUUGAAAGGAAUAUUAUUUUCUGAUUGAUAACAUGAUUGAUGUGUAUUACACCUGACUUAGAAGUACAAUAUAUAGUGUCCUGGUCUAUCUCAAAGAUAGGUUUCCCGGUCUAUCUCAAACAUUAUCUACAAAAUUAAUCCUAUCUAGUAUCCAGUACAUGAUAACAUGAUAAUACACACCAUAAUGAAUCUUAUAAUAACAAAACAUAUCUCAAAUAUAAUAUUAUCUUAUCAUACUAACAACAAAACGCUUAAAAGAAAGAGACAUCACACAGUUCCAAGUCACAGAAUUUGGAGGUUCUUAAAAAGCGUACUGCUUUCAAAUUCCAUCAAAUUCAAAUUUAAGAAAGAAUGUUUUUCUUAAGUAAUCAACAUCAGACGAGAAAGACAAGGAAGUAAAAGAACAAAGGAUGGAGAGAAACGAAAAAAAAGGAAAGCUCAACAGCUGAGCCAUGCAGGCUAAUCUCUUUGCAUGUCUAACAAAGAAAUCCAUUCGAAAAUGGGUACAAAAUUCUUACCACGGGGUUAUUUGCCUCCCAAUCUUCCAAAAGGUUUGCACCAUCAAAUAUUUCAAUGUACAUAUCUACAGGAAACAAAGGGGGGGGGGCAAAGAAAAUAUUGAAUAGUGAAUUUAUUAAAUUAAUUCAAAGUUAUAUUUCAUAAAGAAAAUAGAUAUCCAUAAAAAAGACCACAAACCUCCAUAAUCAUCAAUAAGAUAUUCAUACUCAGCCCAUGAAAUCUGUGCAUGCGGUUCACAGUGUACCAUUCCAGGAAAAACUAGCAAAGCGUGAUCAUUAGCCUAAUACCAACAAACAGGGCACGGUGACACAGAGUAUACAGAUACGACAUAAAUAUAUCCCGUGAACGAAAACAUCAUAUUAUGUUUACUAGGUCUGUAAUCCUAGAUAGAUAUUGCAAACAAACCAGUUUCAUAUGCACAAAAGCAUAUAUAUACAAACCUCAAUUGUUGUUUUUGCUAUUACAGCAGGGGAGAGUCUAGCUGGCUGACUAUCAUUAGAAACCUUCAGUUCUUCAAGAGGAUGAUAACCUUGAUGACUCAUGUCACUAGAUGAAUCAGGUAUAGAAUCUGGAUAAUCCGCAGCAACGAAAAGCUUUGAAAGGCUUAGAUCAUGUCCCGUGGAUGGCCAAAGGAAGGGUGAUGAUCCAAAAAAUGGACUUUUGCAUCUAAGGAUAACCAAAACUAUUUUCAGUGAACAGAGCAUAUUAGAUCUUUCAAGAAGAAACAACUUUGUUAAUUUUCAACCAGCACAGUAAAUGAAAUAUUUGGUUGCAGAAUCAGAAGAAUUAGAUGGCUCAUGGCUGUAGUGAAAUAAUUUGUUGUGAUAUGGUUGAUAGUUGCACUCCAAAAAUUAUAGCAUUCUUAUCUCGAGGCAUCUAGGUAUUUCCUCUUUUCAUGGAACAAAUAUUUGGUUACCAGAAGUCAAAUGACUCAAAUCUUGCGUAGAAACUAAAUCCUAGCAACCAGGAAGCCUGUGUUGGUUAUAAAAAUAACUCAUGGACUCAGUUAAACAGAAUAAGCUUUUAGGUCAAGUGAUUGAAAGUGUGCAUAUAACUAAAUGUAGGAUGAAACUUGUCACUCAUAAAUUCAUAAUAAUGCAUGAAUAUUGUAUUGAUAUGGAUCUACAUCUAAAGCAUAUUUCCCUAAUUUCCUUAUCUCUAUUCGCUAAUUUGAUUACAAACUGAACGAUCCCACAUUCAGUGCGCAUAUUUUCAAACAGAUCAAUGAUCAUUCUAUUUUCGGGACGAAGAUAAUCAAACAUUAUUCACGCCACCCGACCUUGUGCUGGUAAGAUCAUGCAUCCUUCGGCCAUCAAUAGGACAUCUGAUGGAAUUGCAAGCUAUUCCAUAUGACGUCGUGGGGUAACAUAUCCCUUCUGCAAGACACAGAUUAUGGAACAAAUAUGAAAACACCAUCCAAAACACGAUUUGAAACCUCAGUUUAUAUAGGUCAGAGAUGCUAACAUGUGCAGGUACAUAUCUAAAAUUACACAAAAAAAAUCUUGUGCAAAGGAAAACCUCGAAAGCUGUAAAAGAUUUAACCAUCCUCAAAAUUGAUUUCCUAACAUCGGCAAUUCAGCAUUUAGCCCUGAAACUUUUUGGGAUUAUUUACAAUCCAAAGACUGAACACAUAAUAAUAAUAGAAGCAAAAUAUAUAUAUUUUUCUCUGCCAUUGUUCUAGCAUUGCGAAACCAAGUGAGUUAUUAAUCUGCAUUGCGCUCAUUUGAAACUGAAAUCGGCCUGAUAAGACUUGAGACCUUUUCCCCUAAUUUGUUUAGUGCAAUUAAUCACGCGGCCUCCACAGAACUUGGUGAAAUGAAAUGAAAAACACAAAUCAUGUUUGAUUUCAUGGCAUCAGUUUCUUGUCUAUUAAAUUACAAACAUGAAACCGCAAAUGGAACUUCCUAGCGAAAAUUUGAUGCAGCACAGCACAAGUGGAAUGAAUAUACGCAUGCACGAGAAAUUUCUAAUGAAGCAUUAAGCAAGUUGUCAAAAAUUGCAAUGAAUAAAACGCUGAUUACUCAUUCAAUCAGGAAUACACAAUCAUCGGCAAGUUCUCAAAAUUAAACCGAAUGAAUAAACCGCUGAUUCGUUGUUCAAGAAUGUAUAGAGAGGAGAGGAGGUUGCGUACCACCAGUAGCAGUACUAGGGGGAAGUGAGGAAGCAGAAGGAAGAAGAACAAUAGCCAUGGGAAUUGGGAAGGAAGGAGAGAGAAUGCUGAGUUUUGAUUUCAGUUUAACUGACUGAGUCUGAGUCUGAGUCUGAGUAUGAUGAUGAAAGCGACAGUGUUCAGAAUGAGUGAUUCGGCGUCGCGCAUGAAAAUGGUGUGAGUGUGAGUGUGCGAGUGCGUGUCAGUUUGUGGAAACUACUGAAUCAAAUGUGAGGUCCGGCUUCGCAGUCAAGUACGCCUCUCCCUAAUCUCGUCAUCACAUUCGAUUAGUACUUACUUUCCAUGAGAUCCCUAAUCUUAGAUACUAUACUAAUAAACUUUUUUUUCUAUAUAUUUUAUUAACACGCCAUAAUUAUUUACACUUCGUUUCUUAAUUGAAAAACACAGAAGUUAAUAAGCCAAAAGCUUUAAGUUUUGCAUAUGUGAGGUAUAACUGAAUUUUGUUUGUGAAGAUGUAUACUCGUGUUGCAUAAAGGGUAAUGUUUUUGUGUUUUAGAUAUGUAACAAUAUAUAAAUAUAUAAUUAUUGUUUAAAUUAUUAAAAAUAAACUUAAGUUAUAGAAAAAAAUGAUUUUUUUUUAAACUCCUACAAAUUUUCAUUUUACAUAUAAAAUGUUCCUCCCCGUCAGAUCUCGUAACUUAAUUUGUUAGCACUCAUAAAUUUAGGUCAUAAUUUUAUAGUACAUAUGUAUUAAUAUUAUUUAUUCCUCGUAAUUUUCUCACUAUACAAUUNNNNNNNNNNNNNNNNNNNNNNNNNNNNNNNNNNNNNNNNNNNNNNNNNNNNNNNNNNNNNNNNNNNNNNNNNNNNNNNNNNNNNNNNNNNNNNNNNNGAUCAAUACCUUGGUUUAUUUCUAGCUUUUUGCCCCGUAGGAGCUUUUUCUGUUAAUUUUUCAUGUAAAAUGUACAUACCCGUGGGAACUCUUAACCCUAUAGUUUAACUUAAACAAAAAUACACUAUAUAUGUAUUAAUAUUUUCUAAUCUCCGCACGACACAUUUUAAUCAUCAAAUUAUCAUGCCUUUAUAUUUAUUUAUUUUUUAAAACUUUCAAAAAGUUAUGAAAAAAGUAAUGACAUCAUAUUGAUUUUUUAUAUACCACUCAUAGGAAUUAGAUUUCGAACUAUAAGUUCAAACAAUCACUUUUUAUAUAUGUGUUGCACGAAGAACUUUCUCUUGUGCUUAAGACAUGUUCAAUACCAUACUUUAGCAAUAUUUUCAGAUACUAAAGGACAUACUUAAUGAGAGAGAGAUAUAUAAUGCUACAUAAUGUGUUCCUCUAAUUUGAUUUCCCUCUAUUUAUAACUCAUCUCGUCCCUGUACUAAGUAACUACGAUAAUAACAUCUAACUACCUUAUUAGUCCCUGAUUAAUUUCACAAUGAAAGAUUAUGAGAAUGGCAAGUAAAGGGAGAGAAAACCUAGAGGAAGAAAUGGUAAAACAAAGAACGGCAAGGAAAAUGAGAUGAUUAGUUACUAAAUGAGCAAAAUGUAGACAAUCAUAAAAAAGGAACAACACCAUUGAUCCUUUUGAAUGUUUUACAAUUAACUAAGGAUGUUAGGGAAUAAGUUAAGUUGUUGCCGCAAUAGUUUGUUGAUGGUGAGAGGGGGAUUGAAAUAAGGUUGUGGGUUUUUGUUUUGUGUAUUUCCUAGUCCUGUAAAAAUCGCCAUAACGAUGGUGACAGAAGAAUUAUGGUGUAGGUAUGUGUAUAAUGCUCCUUUUAUGAUCAAUAGAGCUUAAGAGAUUAAGGCUAGGUUCUUAAUUGGUAGAUUCGCUUAGCUAAGAAAUUAGUGGGCGAAUAGCUCUUAUCGACAUCUUAAAUGUCAAUUUCGUCUUAUAAGAGUAUAUUGGUUGAGAAUAAGUUGUAAAUCAAAUUAACUCAUUUUUCAAAUACAUUUUCUUCUUUGUUUGCCUCCGUAAAACUUCUUUUAUCGCUUUAAUUAUAAUUUUUCCUUUAUUUAAAUAAACCCACAUUUUACUUUUUAAGCCAUUCAUCCAACAUCUAGCUAGUAAGAUUAAUAUGUAGCAACACAAUCUCUGUGGAGACGACAAAACCCGAUACUAUACUACGAUUGAGUCUUGAAAGGGUUUUGAUAGUAGUUAGUGGAGGAAAACCUCUUCAUUAAAUAUCAUUUCAUCAAUGAGCUCACAUAAUCCAUACACAAAUCAGGAAGUUUGGUUUACCAUAAACCAACAACAAAUCUACACAAUAUCUUCAAACCGUGUUUUAAGUUGCAGAUAAAAACUUCUACAAAUACUUCAAAUCAAACCCCCCUUGAACCGGGUUUGAUUGCACUUGAUAUACUCCUUGACGGCGCACAUAAGCUUCUUGAAUAAACUAUAACUUGGUUAACACGUAAAAAUCCAAAGUUUUACAAUUAAAUCAGCCAAGUACACAGUACGUUCCCAGGGACAAGUGUUCCCACAUCUUGACACACAUAUCAUAUUAGCUAAAAUGUAGACAAUCAUAAAAAAGGAACAACACCAUUGAUCCUUUUGAAUGUUUUACAAUUAACUAAGGAUGUUAGGGAAUAAGUUAAGUUGUUGCCGCAAUAGUCUUCGAGAAGAGAGAAUGUUGUAACUCUUUGAUUGCUCCCUUCCUGUGGUGGUUCAUAUUUAACUUUGUCCAUUUUAAGUUGAAUAGAUAAAACCUUGUUGAGUUGAUGUUGACUUGUUUGUUGAUGGUGGAAGUGGGCAUGAAAUAAGGUUGUGGGUUUUUUUUUUGUGUAUUUCCUAGUCCUGUAAAAAUCACCAUAACGAUGGUGACAGAAGAAUUAUGGUGUGAACAAAUUCUUGCCUCGUUUGUUUGUUCAGGGCAAAAGUUUCAUUAAGUGUUUCAUCUUCUGUACUCUUAUAAAAUAGUCUCACUUGGAUGACUAUAUUACGAGUAUACAAUGCUAUCAUAUUUUAAAAUACAUUAUAGAUUUUAGAAUCCAAUUAGUUUAAAUCUAUGACAAAUUACUAAAUUCUAAAAUUCGGUAUUACCUUACUGAUGCCAAAUUCUAAAAUCUGGUAAGAUGAAGUUUCGCCCAUGACAAAAAUGCUUUGCAUAGACAACAGGAAGAGAAAGAAAAAAAAUGUAAAACAAAGAACGACAAGGAAAAUGAGAUGAUUAGUUACCAAAUGAGCACAAUGAAAGAAGAUGAGAAUGGCAAGGAAAGGGAGAGAAAACCUAGAGGAAGAAAUGGUGAGGAAAGUAAAAGGCAAAGAGAAGGAGGAGAAUCCAUAUGAAUAGGGGUAAGUUGGGGUUUCCAUACCAUAUUGCCAUAUUGGAAUAAAAUAGAACCAUUGCUUAAAAUCAAAGCUUUGCUGACUUGAUACUUGUUAGUCAAGACUUGAUACUUGAAAUUCCAUUGGAGGGCACAUGAUAACAAAGAGUAGACUUGCACACACAAGAUCACAACCUCCCUAAAUAUCUUCCUCUUCUCAUUUCUCAUAAAACCCUAAACCCCAAAUUCACACUCUGUUCCUCCCACCUCAAACCAUGAUCACCGCAAUCCUCAGAAGAGCUUGUUCCGCCCUCUCGCGGCGCGGCGCCGCCACCUUCAUCGCCGCCUCAACCGUCACCGGCGAGCUCCGUCAGCUCCCCGUCGUCGCCAGGGCAAGACACUUCCACUCGAAUCCAGUUCCCUUGCAGUUCCGCGCCUCUCUCCCUUCUCUCGCCGAAUUCGCCGUCGCUGAUUUCCCAUACGAAGAAGGCUCCAAAAACGAUGAAGGGCUCGAGAUCAAGAAGNNNNN
rnacentral:lncRNA from 1 species